rnacentral:rRNA from 1 species
AACGAACGCUGGCGGCGUGGAUAAGACAUGCAAGUCGAACGAGAGAAUUGCUAGCUUGCUAAUAAUUCUCUAGUGGCGCACGGGUGAGUAACACGUGAGUAACCUGCCCCCGAGAGCGGGAUAGCCCUGGGAAACUGGGAUUAAUACCGCAUAGUAUCGAAAGAUUAAAGCAGCAAUGCGCUUGGGGAUGGGCUCGCGGCCUAUUAGUUAGUUGGUGAGGUAACGGCUCACCAAGGCGAUGACGGGUAGCCGGUCUGAGAGGAUGUCCGGCCACACUGGAACUGAGACACGGUCCAGACACCUACGGGUGGCAGCAGUCGAGAAUCAUUCACAAUGGGGGAAACCCUGAUGGUGCGACGCCGCGUGGGGGAAUGAAGGUCUUCGGGAUUGUAAACCCCUGUCAUGUGGGAGC